rnacentral:rRNA from 1 species
GUUAUUAAAAACAUGGCUUGUUGAUAAUAAUUUCAGGUCUGGCCUGCCCACUGAGAUUUUUAAUGGCCGCGGUAUAUUGACCGUGCAAAGGUAGCAUAAUCAUUAGUUUUUUAAUUGGAAGCUUGUAUGAAAGGUUAAAUGAAAAAAGUGCUGUCUCUAUAAAAAUUUAAUAGAAUUUUAUUUUUAAGUAAAAAAGCUUAAAUGUGUAUAGAAGACGAGAAGACCCUGUAGAGUUUUAUAUUUAGAUGAAAAGUGGUUUUGAGGAUUUUAAGGUAUAUUUUUUAUUAAAUUAUUUAAUUGGGGUGAUUGAAAAAUUUGUUAAACUUUUUUAGUUUAAGAACAUUUAUUUAUGGAUAAAGGAUCCUGUGUUUUAGAUUGUUAGAUAAAAUUACCUCAGGGAUAACAGCGUAAUUUUUUUUAGAGUUCUUAUCAAAAAAAAAGCUUGCGACCUCGAUGUUGGAUUAAAAUUAAUUGUUGGUGAAGAAGUUGACAAAUUAGGUCUGUUCGACCUUUAAAAUUUUACAUGAUCUGAGUUUAAACCGGUGUAAACCAGGUCGGU